rnacentral:rRNA from 1 species
UACAGAGGGGGCAAGCGUUGUUCAGAAUUACUGGGCGUAAAGGGCGCGUAGGCGGCCUGCUAAGUCGAACGUGAAAUCCCCGGGCUCAACCCGGGAACUGCGUCCGAUACUGGUAGGCUUGAAUUCGGGAGAGGGAUGCGGAAUUCCAGGUGUAGCGGUGAAAUGCGUAGAUAUCUGGAGGAACACCGGUGGCGAAGGCGGCAUCCUGGACCGACAUUGACGCUGAGGCGCGAAAGCCAGGGGAGCAAACGGG